CUCAAUUUGCAUUCUCAAAGGAGGCAAUGCAUGGGCAUGGCAACAAGGCAAAGAGUGACAGUCUGAUGCAUUAUAGGCAACUUAAAAUAUAUCAUUGUAACUAACAGAUGUUACAUUCUCUUUUUCCCUUUCUGAAAAGUAUUGCCAUACUUUAACUUAUAUCAUUGUAACAAAACAUCAACGCACCAUUCUGAAGUUUCUAACCCAUAACGAAGAUUUCUAAGACUCGUGUUUACAGUAGCACCAAUUUAGGGGAUGCUAUGAACAACUUUAUCUAAAUCGUCGGAAGACAGUUGAGAUAGAAGAGAACAUUGUAUGCUAACGAUAGGGGGGAAACUGUAAGCUGACAGUUACCAGAAGCAUGCUUGAAAUCAUUAAUCAACCAUGCUCCUGUUACCAGGACACUCGAGCAAGGCGUUGUUUUUAGCAUCUGAAGCGAUUUACAGUUUUUUACAUGAAUAGAUCAUAGUGCAGCUGCCCUUCAACUGUCCUGGACCAGGUUGGUUGGCGCACUCAAAACAUACUUGGGCAGUUCAUAUUUAGCACCUGAAAUGUUAAUAGCUAUGGUAAACUAACUGAACAACAGUUGAAAGAGUGGGAAAAAAGGAAUCAGAUGGAAAAUCAAACCUCUUUCAUCAUAGCAUAGAGUCAGGUCAGCAUUUGAAACAAUUACGCCUGCACUUUCCACAAUUGCCUGUGCAAGGGCUACAUCAGCCUCUGACGCAGCACGAAGGGCAUCCCAAAUUUCUGUAGAAGGCUUAAAUGGUUAGUCCAAGGAUUGCGUACAUGAGCAGCUAAGAGAACUAUAGAUACAAGCACAAAAAGAAAAUUUAGCUCAACUAAUAAUUUAAUAGUAGGAAGUAAAAUUAUGUAAAGACACACGACAGAAGCAAAGAGUGAGAAGUACCUUUCCGACCACCAUAGUGAGGAGCUGUGUCCCAAAACUCAUCACGCAUCUGCCUGAGCUGGGCAAUUGUGAUCGGCUGGGGGUGCUUCCAGGGCUUAGGCUUCCUGACUUUCUUCGUAGCUUCUGCAUAAAUUUAAAAUAAGCCACAUUGUAUGAAAUGACCAGUGAAGCCUGAAUACGUAUACACAGUUAAAAGAUAUUAGAGUAAAUUCAGUGCAAGACAAAAGACAAACAGUGCCAGUUUUUUCACUCUCAAAAACUCAUCUCUAUUUAACAGGAACAUCAUUGUACAACUUCCCAUUCGAUGAAAAGUUUACCUUUAAAUUUUAAGGCGUCUUUCCUAGCCCUGUUCUCAUUGCCUUAUGUGUCUACCACAAAUAUACACAUUACAUAUGGUGAGUAGAAUUUUUUUACCACCAACAAACUAACUUAUAGGGACUGAAGAACAUAAAUGAAAAUUUUAUCUGUGCCAACAACUCAAAAUUGCAAUUAAUCAAAUAUUGAGUGGACAUUUUUUUUGCAUGGUAAUACGUGUCUCAUUUAUAACAUAAGGAUCAUAGUACAAGCCACGUACAUACUGACCUGGCAAAACUGAACAAAUAGCAGAACGCUAGCCUUUGCACAAAGGAACAACAGCCAAGAAGUAAAAUUACAAACAAGACCGAAGAAACCUCUGAGCUUGAUCCAUGCUAUUACAUGAGAUGACUAAAACACACAUAGGUAUAUAAUAAUGUUAUUUCAUCUAAUUAUUCAAGAUUAGACAUUGUCAAUGAGUAGUCAGGCAUGUAUUUAAUAGAUCUACAUGAGGUCAUCAACUAUCUAAAAUACUGGCAAGUGGCAAGAACUAACAAUUCCACAAAAUGUUUUGUACCAUUUUCAAAAGACACAAUAUGAUGCACAAGGACUUACAUAAUACUACCAUCAUGUUCCAAAUGUCACUUGCUCCUUCUUUAUCAAAUACCAAGCCCCACAGAAUUGUUCAAAACAUAAUACUACUUUUAACAGUUUAGCACAACCUAGUCCUUGUGGAUACAUUUUGUCAGGCUCCAAGCUGAUUAGGCUAACUAAUCAACCAUCCAUAUUCUUCAAUAAAUGUUGACACCAUUAUUAGUUUACCAGACACUAAGCUAUUACUUCUAGCUGAAUACAUAAAAUGCAACUCUACUCAAAUGUAAUGAACAAGGAAACCAAAUCCUGUAUAGUUCCAGCUUUCAGUAUUCAACUUGCACAAAAUGUCAUGUCUCUUGCAUCAGGAUUCAGGACAAUAGAACAGGAUCCAAAAUAUAACAUUCGCUCAUGAAUUGUCAUAAUAAACAACCACUACAUAUCACAAAAGAAAACAGAAACCUUCAAGAUACAGAGAUGUUAAUCUCACCCCCAAGAAUGCAAUGAAUGUUAAAACUAUGUCUUGUCGACUGCUAUGCUAACUAAUUAGUUCCAUUCAGAACAAAUCAUACAGAAAUCAAAAUGAUGCGUCAUGUAGCAAAGCAUAGUUGUGCAUGCUGUCGGAUCAAGAAGCAUUUGUCACACACAAGAAACUGGAAAGAACAAAAAAAAAUCUCUUCAGAAAGGACAAUUUCGCCAUCCAUGCUUAAUUUGGACUAUCCACAAGUUCAACAAGUCUAUCACAGCUAACAACUUUGGAAGAUCCAAAUCCAGUUACAUCCUCAUGUUCAGACACUCACUGAUCAUGACCUCCUCUUCACCAAACUAUGAUUAACGAAGUCAGAAAGUGUCCUAUAUCAUCUACCAGACGUUAUGCACACAGGGACAACAAUGUAUAAAAAAGGAACCUAAUUUACACUCCUGUCGCCACUCAAUAGUUACACAAUCCAGUUCAGCAAGAGCACUCUCUAGUUACACAAGGGGAAGCAACUCCAUCUUCCCCAAGAAUCCCAUCGUCGCAAACUAAUCAUUCACCAAGGAAAUCCGCACAACAAAUGAUCCCAUUCAGUUCCACUCCUGCAAUUUUUACCGGCCAACUCAAACCCAAAUCACAACUCGACAAAUAAUCCCUUUCCACGAAGGCGCCACUCAAAAAUCCCUGCCAAGCCCUUAAGCAACUACCUACACACAAAUAACUCAACUUGGAUAGCCUAGCACGAUUUGGAACCAAGAAAUCAAUUCCUGCCAAGCACGGCUGGACAAGAAUCCAUUCCCAUCACACAACUGACGCCAUCUACACCAUCACAACGCACGCCCUCUAAAGGGACCAACAAAUCUUCAAACUCCAAGAACCCAAUUCCACGAGUCGCACAGAAAUCUUGUCGCAAGGACCCGAUCCUAACGGGGCGGAUCAAGCAGAAAGCGAAGAACAGGAGGGGAAAUCUGAGGGGCUGGGAGCUCGGAUCGUGAAAUCUUACCGCCUCCGGCGGCCGCAGCGCCCUUGGGGGUGGAUCCUGCGCAGCCCAUGAGGAUCCUGCUUCUCGGUGGUGAAGCCGUGGAGGACUGGAGGAGGGCUUUGGGGGAGGCACAGCUUGGCUUCCGAGCUUCUACGGAAGAAAGGAACAGAAAGCGCCGGUGGUUUACUGUAUAUAUCCCCUUUCAUAAGCUCUCCUGUCUUCGUUUAUAGGAGUGUGAUUUUAUUUAUUUAAUUAAAUCAAAACUUGCUUAUAUCAGAGGAGAGAACAUCGGAAUAUCGGAUACAACAACGUAAUAAUAGAGUAACUGAAGCCAAUAACAUAAGAAUGACCCUAGAAAAACAAAGCUUGCAAGCAAGACAAUAUGGCUCAACAUUUUGCUAAGGUCAUCUCCAACGCGGAGCCUCAAAAUGUCCGCACGUGUCCGAACCGACUUGUUCGGAUGUUGCAAGACAUCCAACACGGGCUUGUAUUUGUUGGCAACGAGUCCGCAUGUCCGUUUACUCACAAACCGAAAGCAAACCAGGGGGCUUUGCGUGGAGUUCGGACCUCCGACACGUAGGACUCCGACAGCCUCAGCCCACACAAAACCGAGGCGAAGCCCGUGCAUUUGGAGCAGUCCGCAAAUCGGUGCCAAAACCCCCUCCCCCUCUCCGCUCUGAUCGCCGCAUCAUCCACCCUUCUCGCACUUUUCGCUUCCGCCACCGCAUGGACCCGUACGAAGAUCUGCUGGAGCCGGCGGGGGUGAAGGAUCUGGAGAAGGUGUCCGCCUGGAAGAUUAACUCAGCGGCACGACAAGCCCGCCACCUCAAAGCAAAGGCAAAAGAUGGGGUGGCCGACAAAAAGAAGGGCGGCAAGGGAGCGGGUGGGGCCAAGGACGGGGUGCAGGGGCCAGGCGGGGCGUCGUCACCAUCGUCGUCCAUACACAUGCCACCCUGUCCAUAGCAAUAUCAACCUCCCUACUUCUACGCCACCAAGCAGCUCGGUCGGUAAUCCACAACCUCCAUUGUCAGACAUGUGUCGUAUUGCGUGAAUGUCAACGUACCAAAUUGCUAUGCGUUUGAAAUGAAAUUGGCUGGACCUGGGCGGACGUUUAUGGGAUACGUUGGAUGGCCGACUCCCGCAUCUGUGUCCGCAGACUGGUCCAGACUUGUCCGCGGGCAGAUAGUGUGUCCAUUUUAGGUAAUGGUUGUUGGGGAACGUAGCAUGCAACUUCAAAAAAUUUCCUACGAUCACGCAAGAUCUAUCUAGGAGAUGCAUAGCAACGAGAGGGGGAGAGUGUGUCCACGUACCCUCGUAGACCGAAAGCGGAAGCAUUAGCUUAACGCGGUUGAUGUAAUCGAACGUCUUCGCGAUCCAACCGAUCAAACACCGCACGUACGACACCUCCGAGUUCUGCACACGUUUAGCUCGAUGAUGUCCCUCGAACUCUUGAUCCAGCAAAGUGUCGAGGGAGAGUUCCGUCAGCACGACGGCGUGGUGAUGGUGAUGUGAUCCGCGCAGGGCUUCGCCUAAGCACUACGACGCUAUGACCGGAGGAGUAAACUGUGGAGGGGGGCACCGCACACAACUAAGAGAACAAUUGAUGUGCUAUGGGGUGCCCCCUGCCCCCGUAUAUAAAGGAGGAGAGGGAGGAGGCCGGCCAAGGGGGCGCUCCAUGGGGAGGGAAACCGACUAGGACUCCUAGUCCUAGUCGCCCCCCCUUCCUUUCUUUCGGAGGGGGAAAAGGGAAGGAGAGGGAGAGGGAGAGGGAGAAGGAAAGGGGGUCGCGCCCCCUCCCCUUUGUCCAAUUCGGACUCCCAUGGGGGGGCACCCCUUGCGGGCUCCCCUCUCUCUCCCCUAUGGUCCAUGUAGGCCCAUUACCUUCCGGGGGGGUUCCGAUAACCCCUCGGUACUUCGAAAAAUAUCCGAACCACUCCGAAACUAUUGCGGUGUCCGAAUACCAUCAUCCAAUAUAUCAAUAUUUACCUCUCGACCAUUUCAAUACUCCUCGUCAUGUCUGUGAUCUCAUCCAGGACUCCGAACAAUCUUCGGUCACCAAAACACAUAACUCAUAAUCAAAUCGUCAUCGAACGUUAAGCGUGCGGACCCUACGGGUUCGAGAACUAUGUAGACAUGACCGAGACACAUCUCCGAUAACCAAUAGCGGAACCUGGAUGCUCAUAUUGGUUCCUACAUAUUCUACGAAGAUCUUUAUCGGUCAAACCGCAAUGACAACAUACGUCAUUCCUGUGUCAUCAGUAUGUUACUAGCCCGAGAUUUGAUCGUCGAUAUCUUCAUACCUAGUUCAAUCUCGUUACCGGCAAGUCUCUUUACUCGUUCUGUAAUGCAUCAUCCCGCAACUAACUCAUUAGUCACAUUGCUUGCAAGGCUUACCGUGAUGUGCAUUACCGAGAGGGCCCAGAGAUACCUCUCCGAUACUUGGAGUGACAAAUCCUAAUCUCGAUCUAUGCCAACCCAACAAACACCUUCGGAGACACCUGUAGAGCAUCUUUAUAAUCACCCAGUUACGUUGUGAUGUUUGAUAGCACACAAGGUGUUCCUCCGGUAUUCGGGAGUUGCAUAAUCUCAUAGUCAAAGGAAUAUGUAUAAGUCAUGAAGAAAGCAAUAGCAAUAAAACUUAACGAUCAUUAUGAUAAGCUAACGGAUGGGUCUUGUCCAUCACAUCAUUCUCCUAAUGAUGUGACAUCGUUCAUCAAAUGACAACACAUGUCUAUGGUUAGGAAACUUAACCAUCUUUGAUUAACGAGCUAGUCAAGUAGAGGCAUACUAGGGACACUCUGUUUUGUCUAUGUAUUCACACAUGUAUCAAGUUUCCGGUUAAUACAAUUCUAGCAUGAAUAAUAAACAUUUAUCAUGAUAUAAGGAAAUAUAAAUAACAACUUUACUAUUGCCUCUAGGGCAUAUUUCCUUCAAUGGUGUUGGAGAUGCCCUAAGACCACAACCAAACUUACAGCUGUUUAGCCGAUAUAGCUCUCGCUAGUGAUGGACAUCACAAAAAAUUCAACACCAAACUACCUACAUAGACAUGUAGAGAAUCAAACCUAAUUCAUUGGGUGCAAAUAGUAGAUGGCGCACGCUACACGUCGAUCGGCUGACGAGCAGAUUGGAUUGGCCGUCUGAUCCCACAUGAGACACUUGUCUGAUCUUGGUUACACUACCCGUCAGGUUGGGACCCAACCAUUGCAACGUGCCCCAUGUCGGGAACAUGAUGUUUGCAGCUGGUCCCAAAUUACAAUGAUCGUCAACCAUACACCUCUUCUCCAGCCGUUGCAACAUGUGCCAUGUUGCCACCGCAAGAAAUCCUUUUCGCUAUUGGGCUCAGGUGGUUUGUUGAAUUUGUUUCCUUUGAAAUAUGAACCAUCUUGGGCUCGGGUGGUUGCAACAUGGCCUAUGUUGCAACUGGUUAACUUUGUUCCUCACCUGGUCGGACCAUAACAUGAGUUGUGUUUGGCUUAGAUGGUUGCAAAUUGGCCCGUGUUGCAACUAGCUGCCUUGUCUACACAUGCCAUUACGCAACCUGGACGUUGCAAAGGCCAGCAUGCAUCAUGGUCAUUGUUGUAAACCACCAUGCAACAUGGACGUUGUUGCAUCGCAUGCAGCAACAUCGCCCAGCGAAGCGCGAUAGCUUGAAGCAUCAACGAGGCUCGUUGCUUCCCAUGAAGCGUGAUGACCUGAAGCACAUGUGUGGCAGCAAUAAGCGCAUGACGGCGUGGUCGCGAGGGAGAGAAAAGGAAUGAAAGGUAGCACGCGGAAGAAAAUGAUUGAAUGAGGGCUUCGUCCAAGGGAUACGGUUAUGGGGAGGUGGGCGGUGUGUAGCCACAUGGGACACUGAUACGUCUCCAACAUAUCUAUAUUUGUGAUUGUUUCAUACUAUUAUAUUAUCAUUAUUGUUUGCUUUAUAUGCCAUUUUAUAUUAUUUUUAUGGACUACCUAUUAACUUUGUGCAUAGUGUCGGUUCCUGUUUUUUUGCAUGUUUUUUGUUUCACAAAAAAACCAUACCAAACGAAGUCCAAACAUGAUGAAACUUUACGGUGAUUUUUUCUGAAGCAUAAGAGACCCUAGAAGUUUCGGGGAGAGACCAGAAGACA
rnacentral:lncRNA from 1 species